CUACUGAGGACUCAAUGAGACUUCGAAAAAGAGGAGCUUCAGAACACCAAGCAGACAAAUGAAACGGGCUGAAAACGCAAAAUAAUGUCCAUGAUGAACCAAAGAGCGCAUCGUGGAGAAGAAAAGAAGCCAAAAUAGACAAAGAAUUGGAGCAGCCACCACUUGGUUGACAGCUCCGGAAUGGAUCUUCUUGUCCAGUUUGGAAGGCAGAAAUAGAUCGGGAAGACAGAGGAAUACAUACCCGUGGGUGCAAAUAAUGUUGGAUAUUCGGAUGGUUCUUUGGAUGGGAAUGACGUGAGUCUGACUACGCGGAGGACGACACGCAGGACACACCAUUCAUCCAUCCUAUCGAUU